rnacentral:tRNA from 1 species
GGCAUCGUGGCGGAGUGGUCUAUCGCACAGGUCUGCAAAACCUCGGUUCACGGGUUCGAACCCCGUCGAUGCCUCCA